GUGGGGAAUCUUGCGCAAUGGGCGAAAGCCUGACGCAGCCAUGCCGCGUGAAUGAUGAAGGUCUUAGGAUUGUAAAAUUCUUUCACCGGGGACGAUAAUGACGGUACCCGGAGAAGAAGUCCCGGCUAACUUCGUGCCAGCAGCCGCGGUAAUACGAAGGGGGCUAGCGUUGCUCGGAAUUACUGGGCGUAAAGGGCGCGUAGGCGGACAGUUUAGUCAGAGGUGAAAGCCCAGGGCUCAACCUUGGAAUUGCCUUUGAUACUGGCUGUCUUGAGUACGGGAGAGGUGAGUGGAACUCCGAGUGUAGAGGUGAAAUUCGUAGAUAUUCGGAAGAACACCAGUGGCGAAGGCGACUCACUGGCCCGUUACUGACGCUGAGGCGCGAAAGCGUGGGGAGCAAACAGGAUUAGAAACCCGAGUAGUCC
rnacentral:rRNA from 1 species